CAAAGCCUCUCCAUGGC
rnacentral:misc_RNA from 1 species